rnacentral:lncRNA from 1 species
AAAUAGAUCUUUGGGUAGUUUGGUGCCCAUAUGGGUUUUCACCAAAUACCUUCCCCUAACUUUUGCCUGUGAGCCUCGAAAGGUUUUCUCACAGCGGGGAUCCCAAUUUUGCCUGCGGGGUUAUACCACAGCCGGGGACUUUUUGCAAUUUUACCCUUGAAGUCCGAUGUGGACAAUCAAGUCCGCUGGUGGCUCAUAUUUUACCCAUAUUGUCUAAAAAA